AGAGUUGGCGCGAUUGUAACACUUUAAGUAUCUGCUGUUCGUUUGUGAGUCUACCCUUACUGUCAAGGUCUUAAAAGAUGCAGAGAAGCCCACACAAGUGUAAGGAUGUUACACUGUGGUGGGUUUGAAAAAGACAAAAGGUCCUGGACCCUUGACUGAAGAAACUCGCAAACCUAUGAUCUUAGGAUCUGGAACUCGCAACUUGAGCUGGAAGGUUGAUCUUCAAUUCCCUGUCUUGAGUCCUGAAGAUGCAGCUUUCAGUGCAAUUUCUCUGAGGAUCUUGACUUCAGUAGUGUUUGCACAGCUGUUGAAAAAUAUACGAAAAUCUACAAAGGCUGACUUGGAUCUUCAUUCUAGUGGAAAAGUGUUGCUAGAGUUCAGUGUUGGUUGAAUCUGUUGGUUGAAUAAAGAUUAAAAUUUCUACUUUUAACAGAUUUACUGACCUGUAUAAUGAUUUGGUUUGGGUAAAUGACCAUGGAAUGGAAGGCAGCUGUGGGAACACACCUACACACAGGGGUUAACUCAAAACUGCCUUUCGAUGAACUUUUUGCUAAAAAUUACUUUAGUAUUAAAG